GGGCUUGACAUCCCACGAACCUGCCUGAAAGGGCGGGGUGCCCGCAAGGGAGCGUGGAGACAGGUGGUGCAUGGCUGUCGUCAGCUCGUGUCGUGAGAUGUUGGGUUAAGUCCCGCAACGAGCGCAACCCUCACCCCUGGUUGCCACCGGGUAAAGCCGAGCACUCGAGGGGAACUGCCAGCGUCAAGCUGGAGGAAGGCGGGGAUGACGUCAAGUCAUCAUGCCCCUUACGCCCUGGGCUACACACGUGCUACAAUGGCCGGUACAAAGGGACGCGAGACCGCGAGGUGGAGCUAAUCCCAAAAAACCGGUCUAAGUUCAAAUUGCAGUCUGCAACUCGACUGCAUGAAGGAGGAAUCGCUAGUAAUCGCGCAUCAGCACGGCGCGGUGAAUACGUUCCCGGGCCUUGUACACACCGCCCGUCACACCACGAAAGCUGUCUGUACUCGAAGUCGCUGAGA
rnacentral:rRNA from 1 species